AUCCAAACGAUGAGUCUCAGAUAGAACUAAACGCGCGUCGUGGAU
rfam:Schistosoma mattheei strain Denwood, Zambia genome assembly, scaffold: SMTD_scaffold0000002